CGCACGGGUGAGUAACGCGUGGAUAAUCUACCCUUAAGAUGGGGAUAACGGCUGGAAACGGUCGCUAAUACCGAAUACGCUCCCGAUUUUAUCGUUGGGGGGAAAGGUGGCCUCUGCUUGCAAGCUAUCGCUUAAGGAUGAGUCCGCGUCCCAUUAGCUAGUUGGCGGGGUAACGGCCCACCAAGGCGACGAUGGGUAGCCGGUCUGAGAGGAUGACCGGCCACACUGGGACUGAGACACGGCCCAA
rnacentral:rRNA from 1 species